CGUUUUUACACUGUUCGACUGCGAUGACUGAGGAAUCCACACUGAUUUCCGUUUUUGUCGUUCUUUGUUUCUUCUCUUCGACAACGUUGUCAAUUUUACAUAUGAUAUCUGAUGACUGUUGUGCCGAAACAGAUUCUGGUGAUUCCAAUGCCUCGACAAUUUCCAACUGUUCUGUUGUCAUUUGUUUAAUUUUCUCCUUUUUAUCAACGAGGUCGUCAGAUAUGGUUGGCUUUUCAUCUGGAGUGAAUGCUGAAGUUUGGUGGAUUUCGGUUUCAGCACUGAAGGGCUGGACAACAUCUGUUUUUACAGAAAGAAUUUCAGUUUUCUCGUCAGAAGUUGGACUAGACGAUUCCUGAUUCUGAAUAAACACCUCUUCUAUUUUUUGAGAUAUCGUGUCUUCCAUCAGUUCACUUGGCAAUGUCUCCGCAAUCGCUUCGAUGUCAUAUUGUUGCUGGGAAGGAGUUUCUUCUGGUCCUUCUGGAACUUGUUCUUUACCAAGUGAUUUGAAAGGUCAUCUCGUGCGAUUGUUUCCAACUUCAUUGCAGAAACUUCUUUCGGACUCGCAUCUUUGUCUUGUCGUGGAGCCCCUUGCUUUUUGACCGGCUUUAAAGUGACUUUUUCCACUUGAAAUGAGGCCAGUUCUCGUUUUGGAAGAGCUUUGGCUUUCUUUAGCGGUUUGGUAGUUGUGGGUGUAACUUCAGCCGUUUCAGUGCCUUCUAAUUUGAUAGUUUCCUGACUCCUCACUGGAACGUCUUUCUCAGACGGUUGGCCGAUUUCAGCAAUAGCAGAAGGCGAGAACUCGUUCUUUGGAGUCGGCCAUGUUGGUUCGGUAGUCAUUUCGACCGUUUCAUGUGGUAAAUCAUCUGAUUCUGUCUCACGAUUAAUAAUUGUAGUGUUCAUUUUGUCCUCUGAUGGUACCUCUAUCGCUGCCACUGAUUCUGUCGCAGUAUUUUUCUUCUUUUUCGUCUUUCGUUCCUUCUUAAGCUCACGGAUUUCAACCACAUCAUCAAUCACCACCUGCAUCACCGAAGGAAUGGAUCCCAACUGGAUUUCCGAUGAUACCGUUUGUUCAGAUUUAGAUUCAGGAGCUUCUUCGGCUGCUGGCUGUUGAAGAAUGACAAGUUGAGGAGACAAAUUAAUUUGAGUUUUUGCUUUUUGUUUCUUUUCAAUUGAACGUAGUGCUUCGACGAAAUGUGCAUCCGGUUUUUCAUCUUUACUUUCCAACAUUUCAUCCAGUUCUAGUGUACUGGCUGAGGGGAUGGAUUGUUCAUUGGAAACUUCACUUACAUGGACGGAAAUAGCACUUGUUUUGUCAAGCCUUUCAAUCUUCAAUUGUUCUUCCGUUCGCCUCGUCUGUCACAUCAGUCUGUUCCAGUCCAUGGAAUUCGGUGACAAAUGUUUCUUGAGCAACGGUCGCUUUUUUCAAGGUCGAAACUACGCAAACGCUUUGCAUUUGCGUUUCGUGUUCGUGAUCGGAACCUUCCUUGUCCGAAGAAGACGUCGAAUCGGAAUAUUUCUUCUUGCUGCUUGAUCUGUGGAACAUCCAUCCAAGACUUUUCUGCUUCUGGAACUUGAUUUGGUUUCACGACAGCCUCGAAAGUUGUUUUGACAGUGCCAUCUUCAUAAACGGAGCUUUCUUUAUCGGAGGCAGAACUCAAUUGAACAUCAAUUCUGUCUUCAAUAGUCUUUUUGACGCCAGUAUUGUGGAAUCGACAGUUACCGACUCAUCAUCUCCAGAAAGCGAAAUCUCUUCUAGGGAGUCUGUUGGCGAGGUCGUUUCUUGUGGUACUUCUACGCUGGUUUUGUAGAUUCCGGGACCUUUUCUGCGACAAGGUGUUGGAAUAUCAAGUGCAACUUUAUGUUCUGGAAUGGGUUCAUUUUCCACAGAAUCGGAGGAAUCGAGUGCGGAUUCUUUCGAUAAUUCCAAAUGAGAUUCGCCGCUCUUGUGAGGUAACUUUGAAUGCUCAUCGCGUUUAUCCUCUAACUGAGUCAUUUCUUUUCUGAAUUCAUUUGCCUGUGGAACGGUGGUCUCCGUCGAGAUUUCCUCAACCGAUUGCGGCGCAUCUGGUGCCGGAUAGUUGACCAACUCGUGUUGUUCUGACGAUUCGCUGACCCUUUUCAGCUUGGGCGUCACGCGGACGGUGGCCUGUGACGUCUGAACUUCUCGGAUAGGCGACGUCUCUUCCGUCACCAAAACGGGACUGCCCGUGCAAACGAUAACGGAGGUACGUCGGUGAGCUUCAUCUGGGGGAACGACUUCUACGCUACUGACGUCGUAUUCGCCCACUAUAUCCUGCGCUUCCUGCCCAACAAGGGGCUGGACGAUCCAUGGAAACUGUUCCAAUAUCGCUGUUGAUUGCCCGGAGGGUAUAUUAUCAUCGCUCACUUUGUUGGACGUGAUUGGCAUGGGAAUUUCGUCUGGAUACGAUGUUUCCAUUUCUUCGAUGCUAACGGUCGUUUUGCUUGGCACUUCCGGCGAAAUCACAAAUACGCCCGGCUGAUCCUCUAACUGGAUGGGAAUGAAUCGCUCUUUUGGAAUAUUAGACGCUUUCUGUUCCUCAUCCGGAAGGGAAAUGAUGGGAAUGCUUUCUUCGACGUUACUUGCUGUUGGAGACGCUUCGUUUUCCAACAUUUCGCUAAUCCGCAAAUCAGACAAUUGUUUGAUCAAUGGCUGCGGUGUUGAAACAUCUUUUUCGGUUGUUUUACUUUCACGAACGAUUUUACUCUCCCCGCCACGUUUCAAUACGGUGAUUGUUUCCUCAACGGAACGACCUUGAACUCUAACCUGACUACUGCGGAUUUCAAAUGAAAUGGGUCGCUCGAUUGCAGCGCCAACUGGUGUUGGCAGGUUUACCACGAUAUCGGGCGUGUCUUCGAUCCUAGCACUCGUAUCGACGAGUGGCCUAACGACUUGAGAUUUCGAUUGCAAAUUUCCUACGUUUAACGAAGAAAUAUCAUCCGGUUGAUCGGAUGAUUCGGGUCUAACAUCUGCCAAUUCGGGGCAAAGAGUUGGGAAAAAGGUCAAAUGAGAUGUGUGAUCGUCUGUAUCCGCUGGACGAGGAAGCAAAUCGUGUGUUGUUGUCGCACUGAGUUGUGUUGGUGACGGUGUCGUGAAGAAGAGUGUCGUGUUGCGUGUAUCCGGUACAGGAGAUUCUAAAGAAAUUGACACGUCGAAUACCACAUCAACGAUCGCAUCUACUACUUAUAUAGGUCUGAUUUAAAACAUCAGGUAAUGUCCCAGAGCAAAGUAUGUACAAACGAAUUUCCGAAACUGAAAUGUGUGCCCAAACUGAAAAAGUUAAGAAAUCAAAGCGAAUAUGGAUGGAAAAUAAAAUGAGAUGGUAUCCAAGCUUCAUUCUUACGUUAUGAUUGGAAUGCAUAUCGUUGGCGCGAACCCUUGCUUGUGAUGUAUAACGUGUUAUCCGUAUCGAAAACGGAUUCUGGUAUAUGUUUUUUGAAUGUUUCUCUUUUUGUUCGUGUCAUGCCGUGUUAAGUGUGUGCAUUUUGGAACCGAAUAAAAAUAGGCUCUGUUGAUAAUUGAGCAAAUAAUGUCAAGCAAAAGUUGGUCGUUUCUGGCCAGGAUGAAGCAGAAACAAACGAAAAAAAAACGUAAAAGUUGGAUUCUUGGCUGAGGCGGAAGACAGGAGCGAUGUAACAAAAUUUUAAAUGAAAAAAAAAUUAUAUAGAAAUAAAUGUUAUUCUUGUUGUUUAAGGAAACUAAAAUUCGUUUAAAGGAUGUCUUGGCUUUGGUUUAAGAAACAAAAAAACAGAAUAAACGUAGACUUACUGCUA